rnacentral:rRNA from 1 species
AUGAUACUGAGAACGAAGCUUAGCAGGGAAGGUUGGCUACAUGAGGAAGAAGGUACGUCAAAUACCCAAGAGAGUAAGCAGUGGAGUGCAAUAUGGCAUAUACAAGUACCUUCGAAGUUGAGAAUGUUUGUUUGGCGACUAGCCAGGCAGUCGAUGCCCACAGGUGAGGUCCUUCACCAUCGCCAUAUGGCUGAUAAAGAUACAUGCCACUUAUGCGGAGCCACAGAUACAUGUUGCUCAAUGUCGAGGAGUAUCUGGGCCUUAGCUCCUGUUGAGUUUGCUGAAAAGGUGAUCAGUUGCCAACAUGAGAAUCCAAAGCAAUGGCUUUUUGCUCUACAUGAAGUGUUGGAGGCUGAAGAGUUUAACCGCCUGGUGGUGAUAGCAUGGGCGAUUUGGAGUGCCAGGAGAAAGGCGAUCUACGAAGACAUUUUUCAGUCUCCCUACGCUACAAACGGCUUCAUACUGAGUUAUAUGGCAGAAUUACAACAGAUCAACAGGAGGGAUCCAAGGCCAAUUACUAUUUCAGCGCCAAGACCAACUCGAUGGUUGCCUCCGGUCCAGGGGUGUGUCAAAGUGAACGUGGAUGCAGCGGUCUCGAGAGGAGGAAGGUAUGGCGCGGUUGGUGCUAUAUGCAGAGACCAAACCGGCCUGUUUCUUGGAGCUUCGGCCAUAGUGUACCGACAUAUCAAUAAUCCUCAAACACUUGAAUCCUUGGCCAUUAGGGAAGCUCUAGCGCCGGCGAAUGAUUUGUAUGUCCAAAGCAUUCACGUGGCUUCCGAUUGCAAGACGGUGGUGGAAGACGUACAGAGCGGGACUUCGGCUGAAUAUGGUGCGGUCAUACAUGAAAUCAUAGAACAUUCUUCUAGUUUUCAACUUUGUAAAAUAGUUCAUGAAUUUAGGAGCUCAAACUUUGAGGCUCACAACUUAGCGAAGCAUGCCUUAUCUCUCGGGGGUGGCCGCCAUGUUUGGUUAGGUCAUCCUGAAGAUCUUUUUUUCGUCCCUGUAAAUAUUGUGACGGGUUAA